rnacentral:rRNA from 1 species
GCAAGUCGAACGGUGAACAGGAAACAGCUUGCUGUUUCGCUGACGAGUGGCGGACGGGUGAGUAAUGUCUGGGAAACUGCCUGAUGGAGGGGGAUAACUACUGGAAACGGUAGCUAAUACCGCAUAACGUCGCAAGACCAAAGAGGGGGACCUUCGGGCCUCUUGCCAUCGGAUGUGCCCAGAUGGGAUUAGCUAGUAGGUGGGGUAACGGCUCACCUAGGCGACGAUCCCUAGCUGGUCUGAGAGGAUGACCAGCCACACUGGAACUGAGACACGGUCCAGACUCCUACGGGAGGCAGCAGUGGGGAAUAUUGCACAAUGGGCGCAAGCCUGAUGCAGCCAUGCCGCGUGUAUGAAGAAGGCCUUCGGGUUGUAAAGUACUUUCAGCGGGGAGGAAGGGAGUAAAGUUAAUACCUUUGCUCAUUGACGUUACCCGCAGAAGAAGCACCGGCUAACUCCGUGCCAGCAGCCGCGGUAAUACGGAGGGUGCAAGCGUUAAUCGGAAUUACUGGGCGUAAAGCGCACGCAGGCGGUUUGUUAAGUCAGAUGUGAAAUCCCCGGGCUCAACCUGGGAACUGCAUCUGAUACUGGCAAGCUUGAGUCUCGUAGAGGGGGGUAGAAUUCCAGGUGUAGCGGUGAAAUGCGUAGAGAUCUGGAGGAAUACCGGUGGCGAAGGCGGCCCCCUGGACGAAGACUGACGCUCAGGUGCGAAAGCGUGGGGAGCAACAGGAUUAGA